UACAGAGGUGGCAAGCGUUGUUCGGAAUUACUGGGCGUAAAGGGCGCGUAGGCGGCCUGCUAAGUCGGACGUGAAAUCCCCCGGCUCAACCGGGGAACUGCGUCCGAUACUGGUGGGCUCGAAUCCGGGAGAGGGAUGUGGAAUUCCAGGUGUAGCGGUGAAAUGCGUAGAUAUCUGGAGGAACACCGGUGGCGAAGGCGGCAUCCUGGACCGGUAUUGACGCUGAGGCGCGAAAGCCAGGGGAGCAAACGGG
rnacentral:rRNA from 1 species